ACCCUAAAUGUGCAUCCACUAUGAUAAAAUCCACCUUCAUAGUCUGUUCUGUGGCUGUCACCGGUAACUCUAUCGCUCCUCGAGGAUACACUCGGGUGCUGCUAAAAAACAAAACUGAUAUGGUGGAUGGUCGGAUCCGAGAUUAUUAUAUGCCCAUCUUCUGCAAAGCUUCUAGAAGCAGUAUGUAAGCACUGCUUCCUCCAUCUACAAGCACUCGCCCCAGCUGGCAAUCACCCACUUGCAAUCAAAUUACUAGAGCAUCAUUAUGCGACUUUGCAACUCCUAGUAUCAUCGGGAUCUGGUUCAAAAUUUUCUUUCCAUUCAAAGUAGACGGUGCCCCGGUUUUUGUUAUAGUGACCGCCAUACUAGACGAGGUUGAUCAUGUUGCUGCGAUAUUGGGUGAUGCUUGAGCUUUGACUGGCUUCUUGACAUAUUGUGUCAUUCCUCCUUGGAGCAUCAUGUGUUGGAUCUGGUUCUGUAGGGCGUGGCACUCAUUGGUCACAUAACCUAUAUCUUUAUGAAAUAUGCAGUACAUAGUUUUUUCCCUCCUCUCCACUGGUGUACUGAUUUUGUUUUAUUCACGCCAAAUGUGCUUUGCUUUAUUUUCCAAAUAAAUCUACUUGAUGGUAGUAUUGCAUUCUAUGAGCGGAUAAUUGAACGUUUGCCUCUUCUCGUGCGCUUGGGACUGCUGGCAAUCAGACCUUUGCGAGAAAUCUCCUCUCAUUUCCGUACCUGCACCAUUCCUUUGUUGAGUUUCUGCACUCAAAAUGGAUAUUAGUGCGGCCUUCUUUGCUUCUUCUUAUCGGAUCUUUAGGAUUCAGAAAACUCCUUCAGCUCUAAUUUAGAUUUCAAUUAAUUCCUUGGGAGGUUAUAAAUAAAGUUUUUCACACAAAAACAAUCCUUUCUGCAGGCUCUCCUGAAAUAGCCUAGUUAUUUUCCUCUUAUCCACAUGGUUUAUCUGAUGAACCAAUUUCAUGUUUUUCUUCAGGUAAUCUUUAGGAUGUUCACUAAUCCCCUACUUGAUUGCGUACAAAUCAUCCAUCAUCUUUUGUGUCUCUAUGUUACCUCCAUAUUGAAGCAUGAACUGAUCUCCCAACUCAUGCAAUGAGUUGAUGGAUUGCGGUUUAAGCUGUCUAAACCACAACAGAGCUGACCCAGUCAGGGUAGUAGAGAACACUUUGCAGCAAAUCUCCUCGUUUUCAGUUUCCAUGGCCAUCUUCUGCUGGAAUUGCAAGAUAUGGUCAACUAGAUCUGAGUUCCCAUCAAGCAGUGUAAAGUUCAGGAGAACGAAGUCUUUGGGUUUUGGUUCAUUGGUGAUCCAAUCUGCGAACGGAGAUUUGUAAAUUCCUCUAAUGGUCGUUGAGGCCCACUCUACGGUGCUUGGGGGUUGGCUGCCCGCCAUCUUUUCGAGGACUUCUGUCAACAUCUGUUCUUUCCAAUCAGGGAGUACCUCCGGGUUGGGUUCCAGCCUCGUUGGCUUUUGAGGUACGGUAGCCUCCGUCUUCUUAUUUCCUGAUCCAUCAUUGUUUUCUUUGUCCUUGCCAUGUAGCUCUUCGGCAUCGCUUUGACCAUCUUUUUCUGCUCCUUCGUUGUUGCUUUCUCCAUGUUCUUCUAUGUUCUGAUUUGUUUGAGGGGUACCCUCGUCUUCUCUUCUGUUCUUUUUCUUUCUAUUUUUGGAGUCAUCUUCCUUUCUUAAGUGAGCCAUUUCCUCGGUCUUCUUUUCCUGCCUUUGAGCCAUUUCUGCAGCCUAUUUGGUCUUGCUUUUUGGCGAGAUCUGCCAUGGUGCGCUCGUGUUGAGUCGUCAUUUCUUUGUACGUUUCAUCUGCACUCAUUUGGACUAUCUUCAUGGACUCCAUCAGCUUAUGGAUUUCCUGCGAGAAAUUUUUUUGUGUCAAUGGAUCACUCGUUUACUUUUCGUCUCCUUAUUUUCUUAGUGACAUGGCUUUCAACUUCUUUCUUCUUGUGUUUUCAGCCUUCCUUGUAAUAAAAAGGUUCAAGAAAACAACAAAAUUAAGUUAUGAUGCUUUCCCAUAGACGGCGCCAACUGUUCGGGUCAAUUUUCCCGAGCAUGUGGAAUUUCCUAAAAUGGAAACUCUGGGUGUAGUUCUCUUUCUAUGCCUUCAUUCUACCAUUCUCUGUCUUUACCUCCCUGUUGACUUAAUCAACUUACGGGAGGAGCUUCUUCUGCUAUCGUUCUUUGGCAAGAACAAUCUUUGGCAAGAACAAUCUUUGACAAAAGCAAUCUUUGACAAGAACUAGCAGUGGGUACCUGGAAGAAAACUCUUUGAUCCUUAAGUCAGUUCUCACUCUAUAUAUUGGCAGAGCAACCGUAUCUUAAAGACUCAAAAGAAACUCUCAUUUGCUACGAGUGAAAUCAGUUAUUUAUAGAAAAAGAAUGGAAGAAAUGGUUAAGAAAUACUUAUUGUUGUUGGUACAUGUGUCCAUCCCAAGUUUCGUUUCCCACCAAAUAUAACCGACUUUCCCCGAGCCUAUUUGGAUUGAUUAUCUCUGUGCAGAGGCCGAAGCCUCUGUCUCUGCAUGGCCUCUUGCAGGGUUUUCUUUCUCUUUGCAUUUUAACGAAACACGCAUUUUAAUGAUCCCUCUGCACACAAACAAGUACUUCUUUUCCCGCGGUUAGUCAUGUGACUCAUCAUAUUUUAACAAUUACUUAUUAUGCAAAUCACUAAUCGUACUUAUAAAUGAGGACAAAAUGCCCUCACACUUUGUUA